UACGAGGGGGGCGAGCGUUGUUCGGAAUUAUUGGGCGUAAAGAGCUUGUAGGCGGUUUGUCGCGUCUGCCGUGAAAGCCCAGGGCUUAACCCUGGGUCUGCGGUGGGUACGGGCAGACUAGAGUGUGGUAGGGGAGACUGGAAUUCCUGGUGUAGCGGUGAAAUGCGCAGAUAUCAGGAGGAACACCGAUGGAAGGCAGGUCUCUGGGCCACUACUGACGCUGAGAAGCGAAAGCAUGGGGAGCAAACAGG
rnacentral:rRNA from 1 species